GAUGAACGCUGGCGGCGUGCCUAAUACGUGCAAGUCGAGCGAACAGACGAGGAGCUUGCUCCUCUGACGUUAGCGGCGGACGGGUGAGUAACACGUGGAUAACCUACCUAUAAGACUGGGAUAACUUCGGGAAACCGGAGCUAAUACCGGAUAAUAUAUUGAACCGCAUGGUUCAAUAGUGAAAGACGGUUUUGCUGUCACUUAUAGAUGGAUCCGCGCCGCAUUAGCUAGUUGGUAAGGUAACGGCUUACCAAGGCAACGAUGCGUAGCCGACCUGAGAGGGUGAUCGGCCACACUGGAACUGAGACACGGUCCUGACUCCUACGGGAGGCAGCAGUAGGGAAUCUUCCGCAAUGGGCGAAAGCCUGACGGAGCAACGCCGCGUGAGUGAUGAAGGUCUUCGGAUCGUAAAACUCUGUUAUUAGGGAAGAACAAAUGUGUAAGUAACUAUGCACGUCUUGACGGUACCUAAUCAGAAAGCCACGGCUAACUACGUG
rnacentral:rRNA from 1 species